rnacentral:rRNA from 1 species
AUCAACUUUCGAUGGUAGGAUAGAGGCCUACCAUGGUGGUAACGGGUAACGGGGUGUUAGGGCACGACACCGGAGAGGGAGCCUGAGAAACGGCUACCACAUCCAAGGAUGGCAGCAGGCGCGCAAAUUACCCAAUCCCGACACGGGGAGGUAGUGACAAUAAAUAACAAUACGGGGUUCUUUCGGAUUUCGUAAUUGGAAUGAGUACAAUUUAAAUCUCUUAACGAGGAACAAUUGGAGGGCAAGUCUGGUGCCAGCAGCCGCGGUAAUUCCAGCUCCAAUAGCGUAUAUUAAAGUUGUUGCAGUUAAAAAGCUCGUAGUUGAAUUUCGGGAUCAUCAGGUUGGUCGUGCCUUCGGUAUGUACUUGCUUCGGUGGUCCCUCCUUCUUGAAGAACCGUAAUGGCAUUAAUUUGUUGUUGCGGGGAAACAGGACUGUUACUUUGAAAAAAUUAGAGUGUUUAAAGCAGGCAAUCGCUUGAAUACAUUAGCAUGGAAUAAUGAAAUAGGACGUUCGAUCCUAUUUUGUUGGUUUCUAGGAUUGACGUAAUGAUUAAUAGGGAUAGUUGGGGGCAUUAGUAUUCAAUUGUCAGAGGUGAAAUUCUUGGAUUUAUUGAAGACUGACUACUGCGAAAGCAUUUGCCAAGGAUGUUUUCAUUAAUCAAGAACGAAAGUUAGGGGAUCGAAGACGAUCAGAUACCGUCGUAGUCUUAACCAUAAACUAUGCCGACUAGGGAUCGGAUGAUGUUAAUUUUUUAAUGACUCAUUCGGCGCCUUACGGGAAACCAAAGUGUUUGGGUUC